rfam:Devosia limi DSM 17137 NODE_44, whole genome shotgun sequence.
CGGUAGCGCCGGGCCCCUCUGGCGAAAGCAAUCUGCUUUCGUGAUGUCGGAGCUACUCC